UUUUUUUUUCGUUUUUGGUUUUUGGUUUGCAAUUUCUUAGUAAAAUGAUGGAUGAUUUAGUAUUGACUGCUAGGUUGUUUCUUUGCUUUUGUAAUGAGCAAUUGAAUGGUAUUUUUGUCACUUUCAUGGAAUAUUUUAAUGUAUGCUACCUCUUGAGCACUGCGUUGGUUUUCCCUUGAAGAGGAAAUAGUGAUGCAGCAAAGUAGCAUAAGUAUUUCCCUCAGUUUUUUAGAACCAAGGUAUCAAUCCAGUAGGAGGCCACACGCAAGUCCCUCGUACCUACACAAACAAAUAAGAAUCUCGCAACCAACGCGAUAAAUGGGUUGUCAAUCCCUUCACGGUCACUUAUGAGAGUGAGAUCUGAUAGAGAUAAUAAUAAUAAGAUAAAUAUUUUUGAUAUUUUUAUGAUAUAGAUUGAAAGUAAAGAUUGCAAAGUAAAAAUAGAUUGGAAACUUAUAUGAUGGAAAAUAGACCCGGGGGCCAUAGGUUUCACUAGUGGCUUCUCUCAAGAUAGCAUAAGUAUUACGGUGGGUGAACAAAUUACUGUCGAGCAAUUGAUAGAAAAGCGAAUAAUUAUGAGAAUAUCGAGGCAUGAUCAUGUAUAUAGGCAUCACGUCCAUGACAAGUAGACCGACUCCUGCCUGCAUCUACUACUAUUACUCCACACAUCGACCGCUAUCCAGCAUGCAUCUAGAGUAUUAAGUUCAUAAGAACAGAGUAACGCAUUAGGUAAGAUGACAUGAUGUAGAGGGAUAAACUCAAGCAAUAUGAUAUAAACCCCAUCUUUUUAUCCUCGAUGGCAACAAUACAAUACGUGUCGUUUCCCUUUCUGUCACUAGGAUCAAGCACCGCAAGAUUGAACCCAAAGCUAAGCACUUCUCCCAUUGCAAGAAAGAUCAAUCUAGUAGGCCAAACCAAACCGAUAAUUCGAAGAGACUUGCAAAGAUAACCAAUCACACAUAAAAGAUUUCAGAUAAGAAUCAAAUAUUGUUCAUAGAUAAACUUGAUCAUAAACCCACAAUUCAUCGGAUCUCGACAAACACACCGUAAAAAGAGUUACAUCGAAUAGAUCUCCAAAAAGAACGAGGAGAACUUUGUAUUGAGAUUCAAAGAGAGAGAAGAAGCCAUCUAGCUAAUAACUAUGGAGCCGGAGGUCUGAAGUAAACUACUCACACAUCAUCGAAUGGGCCAUGGAGUUGAUGUAGAGGCCCUCCGUGAUUGUUGCCCCCUCCGGCGGAGCUCCGGAAAAGGUCCCAAGAUGGGAUCUCUUGGGUACAUAAGGUUGCGGCGAUGGAAAUAGGGUUUCGUGAUGCUCCUGGAUGUUUUCAGGGUAUGAGAACAUAUAUAGUUGGAAGAAGUAGGUCGGUUGAGUCACGAGGGGCCCACGAGGGGGGAGGGCGCGCCCAGGGGUAGGCGCGCCCCCCUGCCUCGUGGACACCUCGUUCGUUUCUUGACGUCCACCUUAAGUCCUCUGGAUCACGUUUGUUCCAAAAAUCACACUCCCGAAGGUUUUAUUCUGUUUGGACUCCGUUUGAUAUUCCUUUUCUACGAAACACUGAAAUAGGCAAAAAAAAUAGCAAUUUGCACUGGGCCUUGGGUUAAUAGAUUAGUCUCAAAAAUAAUAUAAAAGUGUAAAAUAAAGCCCAUUAACAUCUAAAACAGAUAAUAUAAUAGCAUGGAACAAUCAAAAAUUAUAGAUACGUUGGAGACAUAUCAAUGUAAGACACUCACUCAGCUUCAGCGGCAUUUCUAUGUCAAUACCAUAUCUGAACAAGAAAUGUCGAGGUGGUGUAGGAGCUCGAGGAGGUGGAGGAGGUCAAGGAGAGUCAAGUAAACAAGAAGAGGAGUAGGUCGUGCAACUACAAGAUCGAGGAAGAUAGAUGUUUUGCGUGAAGGUUGGCUCGCCAUCUCUCUUGAUGCCAUGGUCGGUGUCGACCGGACAAAGGAGAAAUUUUGGCAAAGGAUCGAGGAUACUACAAUAAUAAUGUGACCAUUCCCUCCAACCGCACAGUCAGGUCUCUCGCACAUGGUUGGACUUUGACCCAAAACCAAUGCAACCAAUGGGCCUGAUGUGUUGCACAGGUCAACCUCGUGUCGCCAAGUGGAGUGCUUGUCAACGAGUAUGAGCCCGUCAUGCAAGAUUUUUACAAGUAAAGAAACAAGAAAAAUGGCUCCAAACCGUUUACUUUGCACCAUUGCUACUCAGAGAUUGAUGGAUAUGAGAAGUGGGCAAGAAGAAACUUUGAAACCACACCAAAGAGGCAAAGUCUCGACACCAAUGUUGAUGAUGAUGAUGACUUGGUAGAGAACCUAUCCACUCCUCAUGUGUGUCGGGAUGGAUCAAAAUAUGCAAGGCAUGCCAAGAAGAAUGAUGGUGUUGGAGCAUACAAAUAAGAGUUGUUUAAAAAUGGUGAAGGUGAGAAGGGCAUUGAUGGCCGGAGGGAAGGAGGAGAAGAUGACUAGUUUCUAUGAGAUGAAGUUGAUGGAGGAGAAGUGGAAGGCAAAGACAACGGUUGAGGAUAGAAAGGUGCUAGCGGGGGAGAAAACUUUGAACUUGAGGACGAAAAACUUUAAUUGGAGGCCGAGGAAAAAGUAUUGAGAUUGAGGAGCAAAAGUUUGCCAUGGCGGCCGAGGAGCAAAGGAACUAGAGGGUGGCCGAUGACGUGCUAUCAUGUGGAUGGAUCCUAGCAAGAUGCACAAGAAGGCGAGAAAAUAUUGGGACUUCACUCGUGAGACAUCUUGACUAAGAUGUGUGGUGGCGGCAGCAAUGGUGAUGGCGGUAGUUUUCUAGAAUGAAUUCAACGAACUUUAUGUAUGCUUGUAGCAGAAUUAGGAUGUGGUGCAUUAGCAUUGUCUAUGUACCCCCUCCGUCCCAAAAAUAAGUGUCUUUAAUUUAGUAUAACUUUGCACUUAUUUUGGGACGGUGUGAGUAUGUGUUAAAGUGUGAUGAAUUUGUUUCAAUUGUUUGAACAAAUGUUUAGACGAUUCAGCAAAAUAAUUUUCUUUAAUAUAGAAUCUGAGGAAACGUCAUGUUCUUACUAGAAUUUAGAGAAAUGAGAUAUGGAGAUGGUUUUGGACAUUCAGGAUCGUGGAUCUAGUAGAGAUGCCCUACAAACAUUCAUGCUUUCCCCAAAAAAAGUCAUUGCAGAAUUGUUUGUCUAGCUCUGCCACUGCCGGCGAGCACCUAGAAACUCCCCCUUCCUCCUCUAACGGUCCAGCCGUCAGCCCUGCUACUAUAUGAUCCAUUUUUCAAAGAAAAAAUAUAUGCAAGAAGAACGUACGUAGCAGCACCAAAAGUUACACUUGGCAGACUGGUCCUAGGCAACUAAGGACGUACUGGUUCUAGGUGGUUUCCUUUUAUCCUCGGCCUUUGGCUACAGCACUUGUUACACUUUCUUGUGCUGUAAUCAGUGAAUGUGAAUGCAGCGCUGACUGCUUGUUACACCUGACUGCAUUCCCUGCAACGCACUCCACCAGUUGGCAGAAACAUUUGUACAGAAGCAUUGCAUAUGACAGACUCCACAAGCACUUGUACCGAAGCAUUCUGUAUGACUCAUGCUCAUCUGGUCGAAGGAUGAACGAAUACUCAGAGACGGGGCUUCAUCACUACCCAGGCAGCCGAACACCACAUGUGAAAUACUUGGCCCUCGCAAGGCCUGAUGUUAUCGUGACGAUUGUGUACGUAGCUGAACCUGCAGUGACAACAUAGCUGUAAGAAAUUUUUCUAAUCCUCAGCACUGUAGGCACUCCAAAGAAUUAACAAUAAGAAAAUGAAAGAAUAAAGAAGAGACUGAUGGAGUAGAUACGUACCGAGAGCAGUCAGCGUCCGCUAUCAGUGGAGCAGUGAAGACUCGACUGUCGUCUGUUUGAUUAGGAAGAACAAUGCCAGUCCUCCCGGGCCCGAUCAUUCUGGUCUCUGGAAACGCAGGUGGAUCACCAGGGACAACUCUGUAAAUGCCAGCCAAAUUUGGUAAAACUCCUCCACUUUUCACUAUGUAAAGACUGGCAAGAUUUUCAAUCAGAGAAAAGCUGUUUCCAACUGCUUCCACAGCACCCUCCCACUCUAUGAGAUGUAGUAGACCAUCUUCCUCCUGCGUCACCGAGCAGAGACAUCCAUUGUCAGAUAACCAAAACAAAGCAUUUUGGUGGAUGAUGAGGCUGUGUAUGCCUAAAUGUCCGCAUACUACAGCACUCUGCUGCCAAACACCAUCCAUUGUUCUUAGCCAAAAUUCAGUGACGAUAUCGGCUUCUCCGCCACCUUCAUCUGCAUUAUCAUCGGCAUCUACUUGAGCAAAUAUCCUUUGCCUAGCGAGCACUAGAGUAAGAUCUGAACUAGGGGUUCCAUUGAAAUAGCCCUGUUCAAUUUCCACCCCCACAUGGAAGUUGAGUAAACGCUUCUCUGACCUCACUUCCCACAGCGAAACAUAUGUGCCCUCUUUGAGUAGAAAGAAGAAAUAUCCAUUUGAGUUGCGCUCCUCUCUCUCUCUNNNNNNNNNNNNNNNNNNNNNNNNNNNNNNNNNNNNNNNNNNNNNNNNNNNNNNNNNNNNNNNNNNNNNNNNNNNNNNNNNNNNNNNNNNNNNNNNNNNNNNNNNNNNNNNNNNNNNNNNNNNNNNNNNNNNNNNNNNNNNNNNNNNNNNNNNNNNNNNNNNNNNNNNNNNNNNNNNNNNNNNNNNNNNNNNNNNNNNNNNNNNNNNNNNNNNNNNNNNNNNNNNNNNNNNNNNACCCACCCCGCAACGGACACCAGAUUGUUCAACCCUGCUUGCACACAAUACCACCAAACACAAACUGUAUUUUUCAGAGAAAAGAAUUGUAAAUUGCAGGGUUUUACUUUUAUUCUUUGAUGAGAGCUAGAAACUCGGUUGCCUGUUUUAGUCAUUGGUGAUUUUUUUUUAUUUUUUUAUUUUUGCGGAUAGUGUGUGAUGUUUAAAACCGUUGGAUUUUGAUUCAAUGGUAAAUCCAUCUUUUUCUUAUCUUUCUCUCACCAUCACAGCUUGCCUCCGCCACACACGGCCUCUGCCCUCAUUUGUUUUUAGAAAAAGGAGGAAUCUUCCCCGGCUUCUGCAUCUGGGAGAUGCAUGCGGCCAUAUUAUUUAUUAUUCACAAAGACCUUACAAAGAAAUACAACAGUAAUCCCGAGGCCACCAUCUAAAAGACACCUGUCGCUACUCCUGUCCUCUUUAUGAAGGUGUGCCGAAUGUCCAGGCCAAAUACCAAACAGACAUCGCACAAAAGCCUAAUAUCUAACGCUAGAUGCCCCAUCCAAAGCCACAUAGGCGGGACUGGGUAACACUCGGGUUCGGCGCACUCUCAGUGAGUACCACACGCACACGCUGCAAAGGGCCGUCACCUCCAUCUUCCCUCGAUCCAUCCUCAAAGUAUGUACUGACGUAUCGACCUUGUCAGGCCUCUCUACCAUCGACGCCACCACAGCCUCUGCCCUCAUCAUCCAGUCAAAUUUUUCAGAAGCAAAAGCAAAGAAGAGUGACGAUAUAGAAAAAGCGUAUGUGGCGACUUGAUGUAUGGUUUACAGUCUCAUGGUUCGUCUCCGUGGUUUUUGUUGCCACCGUGGAUUUGGUGGUGUCUGAUGUUGUGUGUCGAGGUGUUCUCGAUGGACGUAACUUUAGCGAUGGCCUGAUCCAUGUGUCAGGGUUUUGCAGUUAUAGCGUGUCGGGAGAGUUUGAUGGUUUGCCUAUGCGGGCUGGAGAUUCCUACUUUGCGAGUAGUUCGCAUGUGGUCAAAUAUUGGCCUGAUCCAUGUGCCAGGGGUUUGCAGUUGUAGCAUGUUGGGAGAGUUUGGUGGUUUGCGUGUGCGGGCCGGAGAUUCAUACUUUGCGAGUAGUUCGCAUGUGGUCAAAUUUGCAUUGUUUUUGCACCGUUUUUCAUCAACUCUUACUCUUUUCUCUCAGUUAAUCGAUGAAGCAAAUCUUUUGCCUCUGAUUUGAAAACAAAGAGACACUGGUACCCGUGAACGCAAUAUUUUGCUAUUGCUCCAUUUUCUUGGUCAUCACCUCCUCUCCCAUGACCCUGAACUUCUCCUGCUAAAUGGCAACCUUGCGCUCCUCAAGUUCCUUGAGCUCCAUCCAUCCAGGUGUCCUUUCUUGUUUCCUCCAUUUCCUUCCUUAUUGUGAUCAUCUUGUAGCAUCUCCUUGUACAGAAAUCAUCUUCUCCUUUCUUGCAUCCUCCCUGGAGACCUCAUCUGCAUUCGCGCCUCUGAUCUUCGAGUGGAACUCCCCCUCCCCUCAUCAUUAUCUUCAUCGCCAACAUAUUGUACAUCUUCAAACUUAGGAGAUGAGAAAUGACUCGACUCCCAGGAUAAGAUAACAAAGGGAUCACAUAAUUAGGGCCUGCUCCAACAUUACUCAGUCAAGGCGCACCUAGUCCCACCAUACCAUACCAUACGAGCAUACAUAUAUAUGCAGUACAAGCAACACGUCCUAACAAGUCUCAAAAAAGCUACCAAACCUAUAUUAUCUGGGGGAUACUACGGCCUACGCCAUUGCCAUGGGCAUCAUAUUCACACCACCAAAACUCGAUGCUUCCGGCAUCCGAUCUGAUCAACCACGUCCAUCGUCGCCUCCUCAAUUCGAUGUUCGUCGAGGGCAAAAUGAAACCAAACCCACAGGAAGACCCGGAGGAAGCUGCCGCCUACGACCGGGCUCACAGCAGCACGUGCUCGACGUCGUUGGGGAACCGCUGAGGCUGGCCGCGGCGUGGCCAGCUGGGUGGAGACGGUGGACGGAUCGACGCCGAAUCUUGCUGCAUGGUUCUCUUCUUGGG
rnacentral:lncRNA from 1 species